GAGCAACACACUUUAAAAGACAGAAGACUGUCCUGAAGUCACUCAGAGUGAGGAACAAAACUGGGCAGCCCUUGCUUAGCCUGGACCAAAGGCCAUGUCCCUUUAAAGGAGCAACUCCACUCACUCCAGAGGCAUCAGAACUCAACAAACAUCAGGAGAUUUUAAACAUCCCACGUUAUUGGGGCUGAAGCAGCCUAUGGGGUGACACAGGAAGGGGAAGCAGACAGGUCAGACAGAGAGGGGAGGAUGAAGAAAAGGAACCCAAACUGCUGAGAAAUCCACCCUGGCAGGCGGGAUCUACCCCAGCCUGCAGGAUUCCUGGAGCUGUGAGACCUCCACGGACAGCCAGGACAUCCUGAGGAAUUCUCUUCAGCUGACUCUUGAAUUAAACCAGCAAACGAGUAUUCAGGGACUCUGCAGUCACUCCCAAAGCAUCCCUGUGAGAAUCCCAGGCAUUUGGCAUCCCAGCAGAGGUUUCCAGCUGCUCUGUCUUCUCCUGGUCCAUGUGAGACAAGUUUUCCACUUCUUUCUCAUAGUUCAACACUUGGGACUGAGGAAAAAAGAAGAUUUGUUUGCUCACCUGAUCUCUGAGGAGCUUUCUAAGCUUCGACACGACAUUUUUAGUUGGGGAGUUGGGGAACAAAUUAAAAACAGAGACUCCACA